GAUAUACAAGUUGUGACACUGGUCCAAGUAGUUAUAAACUUUUGAACACAUCUCAAGGGACUUGAUAGGUAAAGGUCAGGCAUGGUAGAGCAAUUGCCAGCAGGAGAAACCAAGGUGAGAUCAGAUUCCAGGGCCAAAGCUGUUUGCUUCAUACUCAUUUUUUUCAUACUUCCUGUUCAUCUGAGUGCCAGGAUCACAGGUGUGUGCUUCACUCCACGGAGAACUCCACGGGGGGUAGUAAACAUCCCCAUUCUGUUUACUACCAUGGAAGGCAUAGCCUGAAUAGAGGAAGGAAAAGCAUGUGGAAGCUGGAUAGAGUGAAAGAACUUGUGCUUUGGGGCGAGAGAGUCUGUGUCCCAUCCUGGAUCAUUCCCUGACCACAUGGCCUUAGGUGUCCAUGUGUUUGGGGCAAAAAUGAGCCACUGCUAACAAUUGUAAAGAAAGAGAGAACAGCUGUUUGCAUCUGGAUAUGGGGUAAGAAAGAACAGCUGCUGGCAGCGGUGGCAGACAAGAAAGUGAGCAAAUGAGCAGCUGUUGGUAAUUCAGAAUCUCAUCAGCCACACAGAAUAAUUGAAAUCCAGAACCAUGCAGGGCUCGACUUAACAGCUUUAUUGCAUCCUGCUGUUCAUUAGAUCCUGCCUGUCCUCCAUUAGAGAUUCCUGUGAUAGCUACAUGAGGACUCUCAACAGGAAUAUCCACCCCGACAUCCCCAUCCACAACCCUUUGAAGAAGCAACCCAAGAGAGGUAAAAAGGCACAGACUUUUCUUCCAGUAAGUCCAUACCUAUUUUUACACAAAGGAAGACAAGGGAAGGGAUAUUAACACACAUGGGAAUGAUCACAAGAUUGGCCAAAAAUAAUUAUUUCUGUAUUAUAAGAAAUUAUAGCCAUUUUAAUGAUGAACUCACAUUUCAGAAUUCCAGCA